GUGGGCAACUAAUGAAAGACAAAUGAUGUGAGAAAAUAUAAAUGGGAGUUGAAAUUCAUUGGCUGAAAAGGUGAAAAGAGGAAGACUUUUUGUUUGCUCAUUCAGGCAUUAAUUUAGUGCGUGAAACCUAUUUAUGUUUUUUUUUUUUAUUAGUUUGGUUCGAUUUUUUUUUUUUUUGUCCUAAUAGAUGACCCUUGUUCACCGAUUUUAAUUGUGUUAACAUGUGCAAAAAGUUUCUUCGUGCUUAUUGUGCUUUUCUCAGUGACCUUAAUUAUUCCAACAACUAACAAUACUGAUUAAUAAAAAUUUGGGGGAAUUUGAUGAUCGAGAGAACGGACGUCGGAAUUUCUGCUUUCCCAUAUCAGUUUUCUUAAAAGGAAAAUUGUUAAUUAUGUCAUCCUUCUUUCAUUUAUAUUGACUCAUUAUUUCAGUAGAAUCGGUAUAAACUGUUGUUUUGUGUAUUCGUUUACUUUAUUAUUCUCUGUGGGCUAAAUAAUUUUUUCUUAUUUUCAAAUCUGAAUUUGAGUUCUAGGUUGUCUCUGUUGUGUACCUCAAUUAGUGAGUUUUCUCUAUUUUUAUUUGUUUAAUGCAUUCAGUUAUUGCUAAUGGUAUUUGGUAGACAUUUGUAGUAGUUCUCUAUUUCUUUGGACAUUUCUUAUUGGAUUUUCUACAUGCAUGUUUGUAUUUGUAUUUGAUUUGCACACUGAUGCAGCGAAGUUGCUUGAUAAUAUGCCUAAAAGAACUAAAAUAGUGAAGCUAUACAAGUUGAAGCUAAUUAUUUCACUCGCUGAAUUUGAUUUUACUAUUUUAAUUUCUUGAGUUUAUAUUAAGGUGUAGUUAAUGUAUUCACGCCUCCUGUUUUUUUGGGUUGAUUUGGCUGAUUGAUGAUUACAUGUAGGGUGGGGCUUCUAGCUUAAAUAUGAGAUGAGAUGAGAUCAGAGUGUAACAUUUGGUUUUAGUGCUGGAUGAGGAACUCACAAGAAUGUGCAAUUUAUCCUUAUACAUGGUUUAUUGGUCCGGUAGAGAUUUGAGGAGGAGCAGGAGUUCUACUAUUAAUAAUGUUAGUGCAGCCGACAUUUCGGUGCAACAACAUCAUGGUAGUAGAUUUCCAGAGGAAUGCUGUUGCAAAGAGCUAUGUUGCUGCAAAGCUAAAGAAUGGUGAAAAAUGGAAUACCCGAAAACAUAUUUAAGAAAAGGAACCACAGUGAAAGAGGGAAUACAACAAGAAGAUGGAACACAAGUACUUGGAAGUGCUGCAGAAUUCGGAAAGCUUGCGUUGGUUAGAUUUUUUGAAACUAAAAAAAAAUAUAUAUAUAUAUUGAGUACGUCAGUUACAUGUGUUAGCAAGAGUUAAGGUUUCAGCAGAUCGAGUAGCAACUGUCGCGGAAAACGAGUGGAAAGAUGAGGAGGACAAAGUUAUGCCCAUAAAACAGUGGCUACAAGAAAGAAGAGAUGCAACAACUAAGAGACAUAUUAACCAUAUCAGAUAGAACAGCCAAGGCAGAAGCACAACUCAAGAUGCUAAUGAAGAAGAUCGAGACGCUGUCAAAAGACAUGGAAGUUGAAUCAAGAAAAUAAAAAGUAAAGCAACAAGGUCAAUAUAUAUUUUCACUGCUUCUCUUCGUCCUCCAUUCUCCCUUCAUUCUUCUGUUUUGCUCGAAUCCUCCAAAACUGUCACCGGAUGUGUGUUGAAUCCUCCAAAAAGUUAUGCAUCUUGGAAGAUCUGAGAACAUCUUAUCUUCAGUUGUGCAGAUCUUGCAGACCUUGGAUAGUGGUGCCUAAAGACUACUAAUUAAGAAAUUUUGAAGCUAAAUGCAAACACAGCCUAAGGCUAUACAACUUCCAAGAUGGAGGAGAAACAAAAAAUAGCCUGAGGUAGUUCAAUUCUUGAAUCACCUUAGUUUAAGAUCUAAGGUAGAUAAGCAUUUUAUUAGGCAUUACCGGUGUUAGUUUUGUUUUGGAUAUGGCAUUGCGUUCUCAGGUGUAAACUUAGGUACUUAUGCAGUAUAUUUUUUGUAUCAAUAUAUCUGCAAAUGCUUAUAA